CGGCGUGCCUAAUACAUGCAAGUAGAACGCACAGGAUGCACCGUAGUUUACUACACCGUAUUCUGUGAGUUGCGAACGGGUGAGUAACGCGUAGGUAACCUGCCUGGUAGCGGGGGAUAACUAUUGGAAACGAUAGCUAAUACCGCAUAAGAACAUUUACUGCAUGGUAGAUGUUUAAAAGGUGCAAGAGCAUCACUACCAGAUGGACCUGCGUUGUAUUAGCUAGUUGGUGAGGUAACGGCUCACCAAGGCAACGAUACAUAGCCGACCUGAGAGGGUGAUCGGCCACACUGGGACUGAGACACGGCCCAGACUCCUACGGGAGGCAGCAGUAGGGAAUCUUCGGCAAUGGGGGGAACCCUGACCGAGCAACGCCGCGUGAGUGAAGAAGGUUUUCGGAUCGUAAAGCUCUGUUGUUAAGGAAGAACGUGUGUGAGAGUGGAAAGUUCACACAGUGACGGUACUUAACCAGAAAGGGACGGCUAACUACGUGCCAGCAGCCGCGGUAAUACGUAGGUCCCGAGCGUUGUCCGGAUUUAUUGGGCGUAAAGCGAGCGCAGGCGGUUAGAUAAGUCUGAAGUGAAAGGCAGUGGCUCAACCAUUGUAGGCUUUGGAAACUGUUUAACUUGAGUGCAGAAGGGGAGAGUGGAAUUCCAUGUGUAGCGGUGAAAUGCGUAGAUAUAUGGAGGAACACCGGUGGCGAAAGCGGCUCUCUGGUCUGUAACUGACGCUGAGGUUGGGAAGCGUGGGGAGCGAACAGGAUUAGAUACCCUGGUAGUUCACCCCGUAAACGAUGAGUGUUAGGUGUUAGGUCCUUUCGGGGACUAGGUGCCGCAGCUAACGCAUUAAGCCACUCCGCUUGGGGAGUACGACCGCAAGGUUGAAACUCAAAGGAAUUGACGGGGCCCCGCACAAGCGGUGGAGCAUGUGGUUUAAUUAGAAGCAACGCGAAGAACCUUACCAGGUCUUGACAUCCCUCUGACCACUCUAGAGAUAGAGUUUCCCUUCGGGGCAGAGGUGACAGGUGGUGCAUGGUUGUCGUCAGCUCGUGUCGUGAGAUGUUGGGUUAAGUCCCGCAACGAGCGCAACCCUUAUUGUUAGUUGCCAUCAUUCAGUUGGGCACUCUAGCGAGACUGCCGGUAAUAAACCGGAGGAAGGUGGGGAUGACGUCAAAUCAUCAUGCCCCUUAUGACCUGGGCUACACACGUGCUACAAUGGCUGGUACAACGAGUCGCAAGCCGGUGACGGCAAGCUAAUCUCUGAAAGCCAGUCUCAGUUCGGAUUGUAGGCUGCAACUCGCCUACAUGAAGUCGGAAUCGCUAGUAAUCGCGGAUCAGCACGCCGCGGUGAAUACGUUCCCGGGCCUUGUACACACCGCCCGUCACACCACGAGAGUUUGUAACACCCGAAGUCGGUGAGGUAACCGUAAGGAGCCAGCCGCCUAAGGUGGGAUAGAUGAUUGG
rnacentral:rRNA from 1 species